UGCUGACAGAAAAUCGAUGAAAAAUUGUACUGUGUUCGUUUCAAUAAUGUGUGUGGUGAAAUUUUACAAUUUAUAUGGUGAUUAGCCCCAAAAUACUCCAAGAAAUUUACUCUGUAAAAAUAUAAACUUAAAAAGGUUAUCAGCAUGACCAAGGAUAGACUUGCAGCUCUUAAAGCGGGAGGCUCUUCACGAAAGAAAUGAGUCAAGACUAAGAUAAAGCUGAAGUUAGUCAAGCCAACAUAAAACUGAAACGAAAGCCAACGUAAACCCGAGAUAUUAAUUAAAAACUCUAAAAAUGCUAAUUUUCGCACCCUGCAAGUUGCUGUUUUCGGUGAACUUCAUUGCUGUUCUGCUUGCUGCAUCGAAGCGCGUACGAGGUGGAAUUUUAAAAUUGCAGUUCGUCUUUUCAAAGCAGAGGGUUUUACACGUAAUAUUGUUUCAUAGAGGAGUAAAGAAUCCCAAAAGUCUUAUAUACUAUGUUUUAAUAUCAGUCAUUUGAAUUGUAUGCUACAAGCAUGUUCUUACCUUGGCAAACAUCGGUUUCUAGCAUAUCAGUCAUCGGAAACUGAUUGAUGUUUUCAAGACUAAAUUUUAAUUUCAUUUGCUCGUCAUAUCGAAGGAAGUGAUGUUACAACAGGAAAUUCUUUACAGGAAUUCAAGUACAACAUCGGCAAUACUUUCGAUUUCGCGUUCGAUAUUUCAUCUAUCUUUAUAAAUCGUGUAAUUAAUGUUUAUAGAGAUUGCUGA